rnacentral:lncRNA from 1 species
UUCUUCUUUUUUUUUUUUGCCGUAGCUAUCCAAACACCAUUGCACCCAGUAAUUUUAUUGUGCGUUAUUGGUGCUAGUAAUAUAUCAAAAAAAAUUAUUUUAAGUUGCUCCAGCUGUAGAUACUUUUUCGGCGGCAUUGACGUCAAUUUAUUGGUUGUUCUUUGGAUUCUGCUCCCACCAUCUACAUCCUAAACUUUGCCAAGUUCGGAACGCAACCUGCUCAUUAAUGGAGGGACAACCCUAUCCUCCAUGAAUGGAUGGAACCAAUGCUUAUGAAAUGACACCGCCAAGGCACUCCUUAACCAUUUAGCCCACCAACUGAUUAAUUUCCAAACUCUCUUAUUUCUUUUCUCCCAAAAACAACAAACUCUCUUAUUUCCUUUCUCCCAAAAACAACAAACUCUCUUCAAAAACUUUAAUAAUUAAUUAAGCUGUU